AUGAUCAUUCAUUAUGAUAGCAAUUGGCUCUCUUUUGUUAGGGCAGGAGAGGGCAAGUGGCAAGUGGUCUCAACUUCAGCUAGAAGGGUACAAAAUCGGUAUGCAGACUGUGCAUACCAUAAUGGGAGUUUUUACACUGUGACAUACCAUGGAAUAGUAGAGAAAUAUUAUCUUGAUGGACCGAAUGGACCAACAAAGGAGGCGAUUAUUGCACAUAGUACCUAUUCAAGUGUUCUUACUAGGCACUUGGUGUCUACACCAUGGGGUGAUCUCUUGCAAGUCCGGGCCAUUUCUGCAAAUCGUGUGGAUCGUGUGAGAUUUCAAAUUGCCAAGGUUCAUCCUGAAGGAUACAAGAAGGUAUCACCGGACGACUUGGUAGAGCAUGCAAUAUUCGUUGGACUGAAUCACUCGGCAUGUUUACCCUCGAAGAAUUUCCCAGGUUUAAGACCUCAAUGUAUCUAUUUCUCAUCUCCUUGGAUGACAGCGACAUUUGAUUUGGUUGCCCGUUGUCGUGGAUGGGGAGGUGUAAGGUCAUAUGACAUAGAAAGAAGAGUCUUUGAGCAUGCUUUUCCCUUCGUAGGGAUGCCUAAAAGUUGGAGAAUGCAUGUUCCUUCAGAGAUAUGGAUCACACCGAAUAUAUAA
rnacentral:rRNA from 1 species